ACGCUGACUUUCAAGUUGCCUGCUCCUCAUUUGCAUAAAGUUGAGUUCCAGGAUACUUUAUGCAAAUCAGGGGUGUCAACUUGCCGUCUCUCGAAAACUCUGGAAAUUCUGUUAGACUGACGGUUGUUGAUCUAUAAAUGAAGACAGAUUUAGCAACUGCAUGGCUUAUUUCUCACAUAAAAUGUUUUCAGAA